CCUACGGGCGGCAGCAGUGGGGAAUAUUGGGCCAUGGGCGCAAGCCUGACCCAGCAACGCCGCGUGAAGGAAGAAGGCUUUCGGGUUGUACAGUUCUUUUAAGAGGGAAGAGCAGACGACGGUUACUCUUGAAUAAGCCACGGCUAACUAAGUGCCCGCCGCCUCGGUAAUACGUAGGUGGCAAGCGGUGUCCGGAGUUACUGGGUGUAAAGGGCGUGCAGCCGGGAAGACAAGUCAGAUGUUAAAUCCCGCGGCUCAACCGCGGAACUGCAUUUGAAACUGUUUUUCUUGAGUACCGGAGAGGUCAUCGGAAGGCCUUGUGGAGCGGUGAAAUGCGGAGAUAUAAGGAAGAACACCAGUGGCGAAGGCGGAUGACUGGACGGCAACUGACGGUGAGGCGCGAAAGCGUGGGGAGCAAACAGGAUUAGAUACCCCUGUAGUC
rnacentral:rRNA from 1 species